AGAGGGUGCAAGCGUUAAUCGGAAUUACUGGGCGUAAAGGGUGCGUAGGUGGUAUGUUAAGUCAGAUGUGAAAGCCCUGGGCUCAACCUUGGAACUGCAUUUGAAACUAGCAAACUAGAGUAUGGUAGAGGGAAGUGGAAUUUCCGGUGUAGCGGUGAAAUGCGUAGAUAUCGGAAGGAACACCAGUGGCGAAGGCGACUUCCUGGACCAUAACUGACGCUGAGGCACGAAAGCGUGGGGAGCAAACAGGAUUAGAUACCCUGGUAGUCCACGCUGUAAACGAUGAGAACUAGAUGUUAGGGUGCUUGCACUUUAGUAUCGUAGCUAACGCGUUAAGUUCUCCGCCUGGGGAGUACGGCCGCAAGGUUA
rnacentral:rRNA from 1 species